rnacentral:rRNA from 1 species
AGGGAAUCUUCCGCAAUGGGCGAAAGCCUGACGGAGCAACGCCGCGUGAGUGAUGAAGGUCUUCGGAUCGUAAAACUCUGUUAUUAGGGAAGAACAAAUGUGUAAGUAACUAUGCACGUCUUGACGGUACCUAAUCAGAAAGCCACGGCUAACUACGUGCCAGCAGCCGCGGUAAUACGUAGGUGGCAAGCGUUAUCCGGAAUUAUUGGGCGUAAAGCGCGCGUAGGCGGUUUUUUAAGUCUGAUGUGAAAGCCCACGGUUCAACCGUGGAGGGUCAUUGGAAACUGGAAAACUUGAGUGCAGAAGAGGAAAGUGGAAUUCCAUGUGUAGCGGUGAAAUGCGCAGAGAUAUGGAGGAACACCAGUGGCGAAGGCGACUUUCUGGUCUGUAACUGACGCUGAUGUGCGAAAGCGUGGGGAUCAAACAGGAUUAGAUACCCUGGUAGUCCACGCCGUAAACGAUGAGUGCUAAGUGUUAGGGGGUUUCCGCCCCUUAGUGCUGCAGCUAACGCAUUAAGCACUCCGCCUGGGGAGUACGACCGCAAGGUUG